CCCUUAGAGUUUGAUCCUGGCUCAGGACUAACGCUGGCGGCGUGCUUAACACAUGCAAGUCUAACAAGAAAGCGGUAGCAAUAUCGUGAGUAAAGUGGCGAACGGGUGAGUAACACGUAACCAAUCUGCCUUUGAAGAGGAGGAAAACUGAGGGAAACUUUAGCUAAUCCUCCAUAAUGUGGUGCCUAUCGCAUGAGAACAUCAUUAAAGAUUUACUCGCUUCGGGAAGAGGUUGCGUCUGAUUAGCUAGUUGGCGGGGUAAAGGCCCACCAAGGCGACGAUCAGUAGCUGGUCUGAGAGGAUGAUCAGCCACACUGGGACUGAGAUACGGCCCAGACUCCUACGGGAGGCAGCAGUGAGGAAUAUUGCGCAAUGGGCGAAAGCCUGACGCAGCAACGCCGCGUGUAGGAUGAAGUCUUUCGGGACGUAAACUACUGUUAGAGGGGAAGAAACUCCGGUUACGCCGGGGGUGACGGUACCCUCAGAGAAAGCCACGGCUAACUCUGUGCCAGCAGCCGCGGUAAUACAGGGGUGGCAAGCGUUGUCCGGAUUCACUGGGCGUAAAGGGUGCGUAGGCGGUCGGGUUAGUCUGACGUGAAAUCUUCAAGCUCAACUUGGAAACUGCGUCGGAUACUAUUCGGCUAGAGGAAUGGAGGGGAGACUGGAAUACUUGGUGUAGCAGUGAAAUGCGUAGAUAUCAAGUGGAACACCAGUGGCGAAGGCGAGUCUCUGGACAUUUCCUGACGCUGAGGCACGAAAGCCAGGGGAGCAAACGGGAUUAGAUACCCCGGUAGUCCUGGCCCUAAACGGUGCACGUUUGCUGUAAGAGGAAUCGACCCCUUUUGUGGCGAAGCUAACGCGUUAAACGUGCCGCCUGGGAAGUACGGCCGCAAGGUUAAAACUCAAAGAAAUUGACGGGGGCCUGCACAAGCGGUGGAGUAUGUGGUUUAAUUCGAUGCAACGCGAAGAACCUUACCUGGUCUUGACAUGCAGUGAACUUUGCAGAAUUGUAUUGGUGCCUUCGGGAACACUGACACUGGUGCUGCACGGCUGUCGUCAGCUCGUGUCGUGAGAUGUUGGGUUAAGUCCCGCAACGAGCGCAACCCCUAUCCCUAGUUGCCAGCACGUAAUGGUGGGAACUCUAAGGAGACUGCCGGUGACAAACCGGAGGAAGGUGGGGAUGACGUCAAGUCAUCAUGGCCCUUAUGACCAGGGCUACACACGUGCUACAAUGGCCGAUACAACGGGUCGCGAAACCGCGAGGUGGAGCCAAUCCCACAAAAUCGGUCUCAGUUCGGAUUGGAGUCUGCAACCCGACUCCAUGAAGGUGGAAUCGCUAGUAAUCGCGCAUCAGCCAUGGCGCGGUGAAUACGUUCCCGGACCUUGUACACACCGCCCGUCAAGCCAUGGGAGCUGGGGGUGCCUGAAGACGGUGACUUUACGGGGAGCUGUCUAGGGUAAACCUAGUGACUGGGGCUAAGUCGUAACAAGGUAACCAAGGGC
rnacentral:rRNA from 1 species